GACGAACGCUGGCGGCGUGCUUAACACAUGCAAGUCGAGCGGUAAGGCCCUUCGGGGUACGACGAGCGGCGAACGGGUGAGUAACACGUGGGUGACCUGCCUCUAGCUCUGGGAUAAGCCUGGGAAACUGGGUCUAAAUACCGGAUAUGACUCCACGGCGCAUGUUGUGGGGUGGAAAGCCUUGUGUGGCUAGAGAUGGGCCCGCGG
rnacentral:rRNA from 1 species